UUCGCCCUUAGAGUUUGAUCCUGGCUCAGGAUGAACGCUGGCGGCAUGCCUAAUACAUGCAAGUCGAACGAAGUCUUUAGGAAGCUUGCUUCCAAAGAGACUUAGUGGCGAACGGGUGAGUAACACGUAGGUAACCUGCCCAUGUGCCCGGGAUAACUGCUGGAAACGGUAGCUAAAACCGGAUAGGUAUGAGGGGAGGCAUCUUCCUCAUAUUAAAGCACCUUCGGGUGUGAAACAUGGAUGGACCUGCGGCGCAUUAGCUGGUUGGUGAGGUAACGGCCCACCAAGGCGAUGAUGCGUAGCCGACCUGAGAGGGUGAACGGCCACAUUGGGACUGAGACACGGCCCAAACUCCUACGGGAGGCAGCAGUAGGGAAUUUUCGUCAAUGGGGGGAACCCUGAACGAGCAAUGCCGCGUGUGUGAAGAAGGUCUUCGGAUCGUAAAGCACUGUUGUAAGUGAAGAAUGCCACAUAGAGGAAAUGCUAUGUGGGUGACGGUAGCUUACCAGAAAGCCACGGCUAACUACGUGCCAGCAGCCGCGGUAAUACGUAGGUGGCAAGCGUUAUCCGGAAUCAUUGGGCGUAAAGGGUGCGUAGGUGGCACGAUAAGUCUGAAGUAAAAGGCAACAGCUCAACUGUUGUAUGCUUUGGAAACUGUCGAGCUAGAGUGCAGAAGAGGGCGAUGGAAUUCCAUGUGUAGCGGUAAAAUGCGUAGAUAUAUGGAGGAACACCAGUGGCGAAGGCGGUCGCCUGGUCUGUAACUGACACUGAUGCGCGAAAGCGUGGGGAGCAAAUAGGAUUAGAUACCCUAGUAGUCCACGCCC
rnacentral:rRNA from 1 species